rnacentral:lncRNA from 1 species
UGCAGGGAUUACAGGCAUGAGCCACGGCACCCAGCCUGGCCAUUUUUCUGUAGAAUUCCAGGAACAGGCUGAGUGGGGAUGGGGGUGGUUCUGAGGCUACUAAAGAGAAGAGCCAAAGAUUGUAUAGGUAAAUUCUACCUGCCAACGCCCUAGACUCAAAUGCAUCAGGCUCACCCCAGGAAGGGCAGCUAGGGCUGCCUUGUUCUAGAGACUAUAUGAAGGGCAAGGAAAAAGCCUCCUGAACCCAGGUGGAAGCCUAAAUGCUAAGGGAUGUUCUGGAUCCUCAUCAUCAGAUAAUCCAGAGAGAAGUGAACUGAUGGCCCCUCAAACCACAAUUGUCUCGUCGCAGAAAGGAAUCGCCUGUGCUGGGUCUUCAGACCUCAGCUCCAUGCCGCUGAGCAGCCCCACCCUGGCUCAACCCGUUACCCGCCCCGCCAGCAGGCCGGGGUCACUGCAGUCCCCACGUCGAAGCGGAAAAGGGAAGCCGCAAUGACACAGCCGACUAGGCCCUCGGUCACCUGUGACCAGGGAUCCUCCACGAUCGGCGGGACCGCCGCCCAGGCGACCACCAGUUCCAGCGCCACCUCGGGUUCGAACUACCAGCGCGAUAGACUCGGCCGCCGCCCAGAAAUCGGCGUAGGGGGUCAGCCGCAGAUCUGCUUUCCGCGGCCGAGGUCCGCGCAGCAGCCGGUGCUGUUCAGGUGAGCGCUUUAGAGAAGACCAAGAAAAAGAUCAGCCACUACUAUGAACACCUGAAAAAAAAGUUCAUGACAGAGCAGCUCAGAAAGCUCGGGCGAUGGAGAGAGGAAUCCGUGAACAGCAACCGGUACUUAACCUUCGGGAUACCACCACCAGUUUAAACUCCAGUCUCCCAAGAAAGGCCAACCACCCUAGUUCUGGCAAAGGGAUCUGCCCCAGGGUCACGAUGACACCAGUGUGACCCGAGGAGAACUAGUAACUACAACCUACACAACUGUAGAACAAUAAACAGAAACCAGCAGACAGCGGAGCAUAAUAAAUCCUCAGCAAUCCUCAUAUUCCUUGCCCAUGCAUCCCCUCUAUUUGGUGAAGGAGGUCCUGAUAGUCUCGUAGAUGCUCAACUCAAAAAGACUACUAUGCAACAGAAGAAAACUAUGCCUGAAAUAUCUACAGGAGAAAUUCUGUGUAUGAGUGUUUAAGGAACCUCUUUUGUUACUCAAGUAACCAGAAUGAGUAAUAAAAAUCAAGCAUGAGUAGUA